rnacentral:lncRNA from 1 species
GAAAUUAAACCUUGUGCCCGGCUGUUAUCUGCAAAAAAUUUCGUCAACUGCUUAUUGCUUUGGCUUCUAUUCUUUGAUUUAGUCCCUUGUUGGUAUUUGUUAACUACAGAACUAAAGGAACAAGCUAUUUGUUAACAUUAGUAGAAUGCUCUUGUUUUGCUUUCCAACAGCUUAUGUUAGCCUGGAAACUGGAAGUGGAAAAUCAAUGUUUGGAAUUUUACUCAGUCAUCGUCACUGUAUAAUGAUAACUAAGUGGUUGGAUGCCUGCUAGAUUAGAUCCACAGAACUCAAGCGUACAAGUGAUUCAUACUUGGACUAGGAGUUCUCUUAGUACUGUUUUGUUGCUGCAGUUUCUUUUGAUAAUUUUUUUUGUCGUAAAGUUGCUCUAUUAGGUGCCAGUUUCACUAUUUUAACUCUGGUAAGUGAUUCUUCUGCUUUUAAGAGUACGCCCAUGGUUAUCUAGUUAUGUAAGAUUUCAAGGCCUGCAAGUAAUGCAAUCUGAGAUUGCGCAUGUCAGGUUUCUGGGUAUGGUGAGUCUAUUGCUCAUGUCUCAAUUGUUCCAAAAAGAAAGUUAUUUUUUUGUAAUUAUAGACAAUUUAACUUGAGAAAAUCUCUUUGUAUCCAAAUAAAAUGAUUUAUA